GUGAACGCUGGCGGUAGGCCUAACACAUGCCAGUCGAACGGCAGCACAGUAAGAGCUUGCUCUUACGGGUGGCGAGUGGCGGACGGGUGAGGAAUACAUCGGAAUCUACUUUUUCGUGGGGGAUAACGUAGGGAAACUUACGCUAAUACCGCAUACGACCUACGGGUGAAAGCAGGGGAUCUUCGGACCUUGCGCGAUUGAAUGAGCCGAUGUCGGAUUAGCUAGUUGGCGGGGUAAAGGCCCACCAAGGCGACGAUCCGUAGCUGGUCUGAGAGGAUGAUCAGCCACACUGGAACUGAGACACGGUCCAGACUCCUACGGGAGGCAGCAGUGGGGAAUAUUGGACAAUGGGCGCAGGCCUGAUCCAGCCAUACCGCGUGGGUGAAGAAGGCCUUCGGGUUGUAAAGCCCUUUUGUUGGGAAAGAAAAGCAGCAGGUUAAUACCCCGCUGUUCUGACGGUACCCAAAGAAUAAGCACCGGCUAACUCCGUG
rnacentral:rRNA from 1 species